AUGAGAGUUUUUCCUGAGUUCCUAGGACUGCUCCUCUUCUGGUUCUCAGGUGUGAAAUGUGACAUCCAGAUGACCCAGUCUCUGUCCACUCUGUCUGCAUCUCUUGGGGAGAGAGUCACCGUCACUUGCCAUGCCUGUCAGAACAUCAAUGGUUGGUUAGCCUGGUACCAGCAGAAACCAGGGAAUGCUCCUAAAUUAUUGAUCUAUCAAGCAUCCAAACUUCAAACAGGAAUCCCAUCGAGAUUCAGUGGCAGUGGAUAUGGGACAGUUUUUACUCUCACCAUUAGCAACCUGCAGUCUGAAGUCACUGCCAUUUACUUUUGUCUGCAGCAUCAUAGCUAUUAA